rnacentral:rRNA from 1 species
GUAACACGUGAGUAACCUUCCCCCUUUAUUUGGGAAUAACGCCCGGAAAACGGGUGCUAAUACUGGAUAUUCACUGAUCUUCGCAUGGGGGGAUGGUGGAAAAGGUUUUUACUGGUGGGGGGAAGGGCUCGCGGCCUAUCAGCUUGUUGGUGGGGUGAUGGCCUACCCAAGGCUUUGACGGGUAGCCGGCCAGAGAGGGUGACCGGUCACAUUGGGACUGAGAUACGGCCCAGACUCCUACGGGAGGCAGCAGUGGGGAAUAUUACACAAUGGGCGAAAGCCUGAUGCAGCGACGCCGCGAGAGGGAUGACGGCCUUCGGGUUGUAAACCUCUUUCGCUCAUGGUCAAGCCGCAGCUUUGGGUUGUGGUGAGGGUAGUGGGAAAAGAAGCGCCGGCUAACUACGUGCCAGCAGCCGCGGUAAUACGUAGGGCGCGAGCGUUGUCCGGAAUUAUUGGGCGUAAAGGGCUUGUAGGCGGUUGGUCGCGUCUGCCGUGAAAUCCUCUGGCUUAACUGGGGGCGUGCGGUGGGUACGGGCUGACUUGAGUGCGGUAGGGGAGACUGGAACUCCUGGUGUAGCGGUGGAAUGCGCAGAUAUCAGGAAGAACACCGGUGGCGAAGGCGGGUCUCUGGGCCGUUACUGACGCUGAGGAGCGAAAGCGUGGGGAGCGAACAGG